rnacentral:lncRNA from 1 species
UACAGGCACAUCUGGAGAGGUGCUCGGGCCCAGAAAGCACUACCUAGAGAAGCGGUGCAGUGGAAUAUAUUCGACAAGGAAGCACAGCAUGCCUGGAAAGCUUGUUGCGGGGAAGAUCGCCGAUUUGAUGAAGUUAUCCUGUAAUAAUGAUAAAUAUGGCACAUGCCUCCCUUCAAA